ACCUGGGUGUGAUUGGUUUCCAUUUUGCAAAGGCUGAUAAACGUGGGCGACUUUGCAGAUUACAUUCAAACACUCUGAAGAAAAUAAAAAAGGAGCUGGCUGACAACAUACUUUAUAUAGUUCCUCAGACAGACAUUAUUCUAAAUGAGGUAUAGUAGGAAAUUACAUUAUAGGAAAUUAUAGCACGGCUGUUCUUUGAAGGCACUUUUUUGCACCUGAACCUGCUAGUUGACAAUUACUUGACAAUACCAAACAAUUAAACUGUGCUAUUAAUUUUUCACAGAUGACCACGAACACAAUAUCAUCAGUCAUGUAUGCAAAUGAUUUCUCACCACCACAUUCUCCUCCACCUGUUCCUGCACAACAGAGGCACCGUCUGACUUCAACCAGCAGUUUUCUUUCAGAUUCUAGCCGAAACUCUUCAAUGGAGGACAUGGACUUUGGCUCUUUGCUCAGAGAGUUUCAGCACAUGCAUCUCAGUGGCAGUGAGAAUGUUUCAAUAUUGGUUUCUCGUAACAAGGUGCUGCAGAGUGCUAAAGAUUCUGUUUCCAACUCUAAUUUCCCUUGGACCAAAAUCCCUCUCGUGACAUUUGUUGGCGAGGAAGCACUUGACUGUGGAGGUCCACGCAGAGAGUUUUUCAGAAUCUUGAUGAUGGAGGUGCAAAGCUCGCUGGGCAUCUUUGAGGGGCAGGCUGGACACUUGUUCUUCACCUAUGACCAAAUGGCCUUGGAGGAACACAAGUAUGAGUUGGCGGGGAAGCUGAUUGCAUGGUCUGUGGCUCAUGGCGGACCAGGACUCAAAUCUCUUGACCCCUGCCUGUACCAGCUGAUGUGCACCCAGGAAUGUCAACUGGUAGACUUUGACUGGCACCUAAUACCAGAUGCUGACAUUCAGGACAAACUGCAAAAGAUUUUGUCAUGCAAAACGACGGCAGACCUCCAGAGGCUGCAGACAGAGCUGGGCGACUGGAUCUGUGAAUGUGGUUUCCUUGGAAUAUACAGACAUGACAUUUCUGUCCGAGAUGUAGCAAAGAUUUACUCCUUUGCAGUUCGACACUACAUAUAUCUAAGAACAUCAAAUAUGAUUCAUCAGUUCACAAAGGGACUGAAUGCUUAUGGACAGUUCUGGGAUAUGGUAAGAACUCACUGGGUUGAGUUUCUACCCAUCUUUACCAACAUGCAUGAGCCACUUUCCAGAAGCACGUUCAGAGACUUAUUCCAAAUCCACUGGAGUAAAUCAGGGACCAAGAAGAGGGAGGCUGAGGAGGACACUAUACACUACUGGGAACUGGUGCUUAAGAUGAUUGAAGGUGAGGUAGUUAGUAAAUGAACUGUGAA
rnacentral:lncRNA from 1 species